rnacentral:rRNA from 1 species
UGCCUGUUUACCAAAAACAUCACCUCUAGCAUUUCCAGUAUUAGAGGCACUGCCUGCCCAGUGACAUCAGUUAAACGGCCGCGGUAUCCUGACCGUGCAAAGGUAGCAUAAUCAUUUGUUCCUUAAAUAGGGACUUGUAUGAAUGGCCACACGAGGGCUUUACUGUCUCUUACUUCCAAUCCGUGAAAUUGACCUUCCCGUGAAGAGGCGGGAAUAUGACAAUAAGACGAGAAGACCCUAUGGAGCUUUAAUUAACCGACCCAAAGAGAUCUUGAUAAUCAACCGACAGGGAUAACAUACCUCUACCAUGGGCCGACAAUUUAGGUUGGGGUGACCUCGGAGAAUAAAACAACCUCCGAGUGAUUUAAAUCUAGACUAACUAGUCGAAAGUACUACAUCACUUAUUGAUCCAAAAACUUGAUCAACGGAACAAGUUACCCUAGGGAUAACAGCGCAAUCCUAUUUUAGAGUCCAUAUCGACAAUAGGAUUGCGCUGUUAUCCCUAGGGUAACUUGUUCCGUUGAUCAAGUUUUUGGAUCAAUAAGUGAUGUAGUACUUUCGACUAGUUAGUC